ACAUAUAUAUAUAUAUAUAUAUAUAUAUGUAUGUAUGUAUAUAUGUAUAUGUACAUAUACAUGUAUAUAUACAUAUACAUAUACAUAUAUAUAUAUAUAUGCAAUUACUAAAUAGGAUUAUAUCUCGAUACCAAUUAUAGACCCUAGUCGAAUUCUAUAUUCUAACCAAUUCUUUCGCAAGAGGACGAAAUAAUAUUCACCUUGCGACGCUGUCAGUCGUCACUUUCACCUAAAGCUUGUCGAACUAAGGAUACUUGAAAGAUCGUCAUCAUGCCAACUUUUCUCGUUGUAAUACUUCAGCAUUAAUAUCAACAUUCUUAACUGUAUGCCAGCGGCUAUAUAGAAAGAAGUAGAGCGCUCAUGACAUUCAACGAUUUAAUAUGUAGGUUGUACGUUGAAGAAAGGAAAGAGAAAAGAAAAUUAUAAUUUUAAUGAGAAAAAAAAAGAUAAAUAGAUAUCUUUUGACGUAAUGACCUAAUUAUAUUAUCCGAUCUAAUUCCGAUGUUCUUUUAUGAUUCUAAAAUUGACUGAGAAUCAACAAAAGAGCGACAUAUAGAUGAAUUAAUUUCCUCUUUUCAAAUCGCCGCUUUCACUCGUACAAACCUUGCACCUUGUCGAUCGUAGAAAGUCUUCCAAACAUUAUAAUUUCCGUACAGUACGCAGUUGUCUUUAUACAGUACAAGUCAUAUUUUACUAGUCAUUUUACAGUAUAAAUACAUUUUGUUUGCACUUAAAAAUUUUUAUCUUUUCGGUUGCAUAUUAACAUAACAUAGUCUUUAAAAGAAAUGUCUAUUCUAAGAUAUAUUAAAAAGGAUUAUUCACGAUUGAUUAAUAUACUUUAUAAUAAUAAUAAUAAUAAUAAUAAUAGUAAUAAAUAAAAAACCUUGAAAAAAAAUGCCUUCUUUAUGAUCAAUACAUACAAUAACAACGAUUACCACGUUUGAGUUAUUAUUUCUGGUUAUCAGAAACUAUUUUUCGAAAAUACUAAUGGAAAAAAUAUCUUGUUUUAAAACAAAAAUGCAAUAAUAAGUAUAAUUUUAUGUUUACAAAAGAUAAUGUUCGUGUGCACGUAAAGAGAAAAAAAUAAUAUAUAAUGCGUUGGUCAUUAUUAUAUCUGCUCGACAGGACGGAAGUAGACCUUUUAAAAGGUCAACACAGCUGUUUGUAAGUCGAUAACCACUACAGUGUUAUUAUAUAACAAUAAAUUGCGUUUUUAUCCAGAGGGAAACAAAUAAAAGAAGUGGGACCAAAAAAAGGACAACAAAUUGUCACGAUUAAUUUCUAUGGCUAAAAGGAAAGGUGAACCGAAAUGAAUUAAAAUUUUAAUAGUUAACGAUUUUGUUUUAUCAAUGUAUCAUAGAACAAAUCAUUAUAAUUCAUUUUAUGAUGAAAUUGAUUUAUUGUGAUAAAAUCCUGACGGAUUAUGUACGUACACAAUUCAAUGUGAAGUCUUUUACUAUAGUAACAUUUAUCAAUAAUGAACUUCAUAUUUUAUUAUAAUUUUUCUAAAAUUCGAGAAGUCAAAAAAUGAUUAAAAUGAGAGAAGAGCAAUGACAAAAGUAUCGACGAGUAAUAUCGGUAUUUGAAACCUCGGAACAUCUAACCCGUUUGAAGAAAGAAAUCUCUUUACAAUUACGUGUGCGCGCGCACACGAUGAAAAGAAAGACGGAGAGAAAAAGAGAUAGACGGAGAAAGUUGUGGUACAUGUCAUAUUGUCGUACGUAAUGCGGACCUUGUCUUUACAGUUACAUUCGCGGAUAUUUUUCUUUUUCACAUAAAAAUUAGUGCGUGACGGAUUGACGCGUGUGAUAAGUCUAAGCGAAUAUUGUCUCUACCAUUGUAGAUUGUAUUAGCUGUAUACAUGCUUAUCUGUAUAACGGAAUAAUGAGGAAAUGAACGAUUUGUAAACAUCUUGUUAAUGAUUAGUUAAUUGAUAAUAAUAAGCUUAUCAUUAAAUUUUUAUCAAUAAUUUUAUUUAAUUUAUUUUAUUUAUGCUAAUGUAUACUAAUUUAACGAUUUAUUUAACUUCCUCAUAUGACUACUCUUCUGACAAGUAUCUAUAACUACAUUUAUAUUAUUUUCAAUAGUCAGUUUUAUCUGAUUACAUUAACGUAAACAUUAUGAAAAAUAUAAUUGCAUUUAAAUAAAUAUGUAAUAUUGUUGCUGUCAAACGAAUAUUAAUAUUCUGUUAAGAAUUCAAAUUCUUACUUUUCUUGUUCUUUUCGAAAAAUUUUUCUCACGAUUUUUCUCAUUGACAAAUGUUCCAUAUAAAAUAUAUAUUUCUAUUUCUAUCAUAUUUAAAUGUGCAAUAGAAAGGAUGGCAAGAGGAAAAUGAAACGUCUCUAGCAAAACGUUAUUAAGCGUAAUGCAUUUCCCAACUAGAAAAUUAGAAUUUCAAACCGCUUCGCGCCGGAUGAUACUUCUCGAUUCUAUGUCGCUAAUCAGUGAAAGCGAUUUUCGAUACGAGUCUUGGAUAUAAAGCGAGCGAAAGUCGAUCAACGCAGAAUAAUUAUUAUUCAUUAGGAAUGUUGGCAAAUUGAGGUGAACUACUAAAUGAAAUUUAUAAUAUAUUUUUAUAAUAUUCCGGUACAUGUUGAGUACAUGUAUAUAUAUACAUUCACACGACAUUACGAUCAAAUAAAUUAAUAUUAAAAAUAUAGAUAUUUAUUUUAUACAAAAAAGAAUCCACUUCAUUAAUCUACAAGCCAUUCCAUUUUAUAAUGUUUCUAUCCGUUUUUUCAUAUUUCAAAAAAAUAUAUUUAUGCAGUUAAGAAUAUAAAAUUUAUUAAAGUAAAUGCUAAUGAGGAUACACAUGUAAAAUUUCAUGGAUGUUUCGAGCGUUUAAAAAGAGGCUCAAACAUCGUUGGCAACCGGAGAGAAAAGUAGGUCAUGUCAAAUAAAGUUCGAUAUAAAGAAAAGAAUAUUAUUCUUUACUAAACUCCUGCGAAACUCACACAUACAUACAUAUAUACAUAUAUAUAUAUAUAUUUACCUACUUAUAUAUAUAUGUGUGUGUAAAUUUUGUCCUUCUAUAUAAAAUAAACUAUGUUCAAACAUCGAUUAUAUUACUCGUACAGUAAUUUAUCCUAAUGGCGGUUUGAAAUUUCGAAAUAUUAUAGUCACAAAGAAAAAGCUGCUAUAAAUGAAUCGGAAAGUUAAACUCGUAAAGCAGGAAAAGCUAUAAAGACAGACCGUCGACGCCUUUCAUCUUUAUUCUUCAACACUUCCCGGCUCUCACUGCAAACAUCCAGACAUGCAAUAUAAACCUUAUGUAGCGCAUGAUCUUUUUUUUUCAUCGCUGACAACGUUUCAAAAAUAUGCGAUAAAAUGAAGCCUUUGUCCGCUUGAAAUACACGAAAUAUACAGACGAUAAUAUCAAAAACUAUUUAAAAAUAAAUAAGAGAUAAAACUCUACGUUCAUUUAAUUAUUAUUUCUUAAUCGUAAGAUUAUUUAUUUCUAUAAAAAUGAUACUGGUAUAGUAAUCAGUAAUAAAUAGUAAUAAGAAGAUUAACAUGUAUUUAUAAUGUAAUUAUAUAUACACUCGUUAUACAGUACGGUUCUUAUUUACAUAACACGAGGAUGCAUCUAAUGAAUUUAAUUAAGAUCAAACGAAAUACGUUUAUUGAAAUAGAAUUAUUGAGAAUAGGAUGCACGAAGUAAUCAAAAUUUAGUUCUUUCUUUCGUCGUUUCCUAGGAUAAAAGAGAAAAAAAGAAAAGAAGAAAAAGUUAACGUUUCCCACUUCUUUGACUAACUUUGCCUUGCCAGAUGUGGGUCACAAAAUACGAGAGUCUACUUCGACGAAAUGUAUUCCGUGUGAAAAGCAAAGAAGAAAAGAUAAAAAGAACGAAUGACAGAAUUGUUGAGCCUUUGCUUACGUCAUUCUCGCCCUUUGCCUACUUAUUCUUACAAGAUAUUCUUAUUAUAUGUAAUAUAAACUUCGAUAUCCUUCAACGAAAUCAUAAAAAGACUCGUAAAAAACAAGAUUUCGAUGUUACUAAAUAAUAUGUAUAAUAUCUAUAAUUAACUAAGGCUAUAUUUUUUCUUUUCAUUUUUAUAUAAAAUUCUUGUUUUAAAUAUUAUCUAUAUAUACUCUGUCUCUGUCUGUCUGUCUCUCUCUCUCUCUCUCUCUCUCUCUCUCUCUCUCUCUCUCUCUCUCUCUCUCUCUCUCUUUCUCUCCCCCUCAAUAUAAUAAAUUACUUAUAAUGA